GACCCAGUGGUGCUUGACACUGUGAGGUCAUGGCCAAGAAUCCACACAGGAGGAGCCUCUGGCCGCUGAUCAGCCCUGCUGACAGGUAUGAAGAUGUUAGGAAAAAACAUGGAGAAAGGAAGUUGCACUGUAAUGCAGGCUUGCUCUGCUGUCCUGCACACUCUGUGGGAAUACAUCUGAUAUUUUCUGAAGCAAAGGGAGCACUCUCACCGACAAGCUGCCUUUGCUUCCUCUCAAGAAGUACAAGAUGGAAGAUGAGCUUUGCAUCCCCUGGUGGGACUGUACUUCUGGGUCAGGACAGAAGUGUCUGAGGAUGUUGCAGCAAUGAUGCCUGCAAUGGUCCAGGGCUUCCUUAGUGAGUAAAUAGCAUCCUCCAAAACCCGGGGUGCUCAGUCUGCCACACACCCUUCACAAGCCUAAAUGCAAAGGGCACGCUUUUGUUCAUCUGCUAAG